rnacentral:miRNA from 8 species
ACCAGAUAUCAAACAUGUCAUG